GCAAGGUUAUCAGAAAUGUGGUUUCGCAUUUUCAAAACAAACCAUUCACUGACUUUUAAGACCAUGCGCUUGAUUGUCCGAUUCAGGCGAUAUUAACCACGAGCCAGACAGGUGAAACAUCAUUUCAAGACCGCGAGCAUUCAUCGAUUACACAUAACGUGUUUCUUGCGUUUGCCCGGCUCCUUGGUUCGCAAGAAAGGGCUUUUCAGUGAUUCUACUAUUUCCAGAUGGGCUUACAAAACAUGCUUUGGAUGGACUAUAAGCGGGAAAAGAGCUUGAUCCCAUCCACUGGUGGUAAUGCCGCAGAUCAAUGCUGCAAUGUUAUCGAUGAUGCCCUUAUCAAACCUCAC
rnacentral:sRNA from 2 species